UAUUCCCUCCACUUUCAAAGGACAACCCUCUCUCUCUCUUUUGAAGCAAAAGUCUUAAAGCAAAUGGAGAGGACUUGGAAUUACCUCCAUCACUUGCAUGCAAAUUUGGUGGAAAUCUAAAAAGUCCAUAAGAUCCACCAUUGCCAUGUGGAGGAUUAGGAAGAAGAAGAAGAAAAAAAAGGCUCCCAUUCCCCAUCUUCAAGCAAACACAAGUCGUUUGGGGAAAGGCAAGGAGCCUAUGGUUCAA
rnacentral:lncRNA from 1 species